rnacentral:lncRNA from 1 species
CCCCCCCCCCCCUUCCCGGCCGCAGGGGGAGGGGAAGGAGGGAGGGAGAGAGAGAGGAGGGGAGGGAAAAAAGAAACUGUCACCGUGGGAUUUCAUCAGCUGCUCCUGCCUCCGUGCAUUUAACCUAUUUUCCUUCUCUUCGAUUAUGUAAGAGGGACGGUGUAGGAAGGAGCGGCGAGUAAAGAUGACUGAUGUGCCUCCUUUGCGAUUGUCGGUUGUUUGUGUCCAGCUGGCCUGCCAGGGUGCUGAAAAUGCAAAGUGUUGGAAAUAUUUAUUUAAGUCGGGGUUUAGGGGAGAAAAAUGUGCUUGUGGUGAGUGAAAUGAAUUUUUCCUGAUAGGAGUUGCAUAGAAAUUCAAAUGUUAUUAAAUAGUUCAUUUUGAUUUCUAUAGCUGUAAAAACUGGCCUAAUAUGAAAUAUUUUGAUUUCUGUUAGAAGUAUUUUCAAACAGCAACAAUAUAAAACUUGUAAGUGUGAUUUGUUUUGCUGUUCAUUUUCUAAAAUAUGUGGGGAAAUCCUAGUUUCACUCUUGGGUGAAAAAUAGGAAAUUAGAGCUAAUUACAGGGGAGUACAAACACUAGUUUGACAACCAAGUGUUUAGAGCGACACACAGUAGACAGGUGAUGCUAUGGGAAUAGGAGUUAGAUAGGGCUAGAAAGUAAGAGGUCUACUAGUGGCACUUGCUGUUUAGUUUAAUUCUGAGUAGCAAGGAGAAGUCUGCAGAAUGGUGUUUCAUAGCAGAACUCUGGCUAGUACGUAAGCAGCAUAUGCCUUUACCAUCCAUCUGCUAAACUGCUGGGGAGAUGAAUGUUUCCCAGCGCGGUUGUUCCUGGAUCUUCUGCACUGCAACACCAUCUGGCUGGUAAACUUCUAAAACUCAAUUUUUAAUUCACCUAUGCCCACAGAUGACCCUAUGAAUUGCUUGGCUUGUAUCAUAAGUGAAGCUUGGCCUGGUCUGAUAAAGGGAGACUAUUAUUAGUGAGACGAUCUUUCUAGGCUGAAGCGAUAGAAUGACGUUUCUGGAAAACAGUCUGGCUUUUUUGGCAGAAGCAAGUCCAGUACUUCAGGUUGAGAAACAGCAUGUAUCAAGAUGAAAACUAAAUAUGAAAGACAGACAGUACAACAUCUAUUCAGGGGAAUAAAAAUAGUUUUAUCUGACA